AUAUUUCCCACAGCUGAGAAACAGUGUUGACAUUUAAACAGGGGCUGCCUGUGAGCUUCCGCACGCGGGUUUACCAGAGCUUUCAACCUUGACCUGAAGGGAACACCUCCUCUGGAAGUGACAGAUACGAGAAGAUACAAGGAUUGGGAUCAUACAAUCUUCUCUGCAGGUUUUCCCCAGAGCACUGUAUGCCUCAUUCCUGAUCUCGACCCUGAACACCUUUCAGUUAUGUUGAAAGUCAGUGGCUCGUGAUUUAAUCCUUAUAGAGGCAGAUGGUUAUGCGAGAUUGUGCAAUCAGAAUUUUACACAUGAACGGAUCUUCUGAUCAUGACUGUCCUGAACAUUUGGCUGUCAUUUCUACAUUCCUCAGUGAUGACCACACCCCUGCCUUCUCGCUGCAACCCGUGGCCAUUGUGAGAAAAGCGAUUGAUUCCAUGCCCACGAGGAAUGUUUUCUGUCUCUCUCUAUCUUGAAGAUCCGCUGGAGAAGGCAUGCUGUUGGAAGAGCCUGUUGGUUUGGCUGGGCAAGGACCACCCCAGGACUGCCUGGCAUGUGGCAUGAAGCUUGUAAGGAGGCGGGUAACCAUGCUGGUUGCUGACAGCAGGGAGCGCACAGGAGAUCUGUCCUGCAGCCCAGAGCCCCCAUUGCAGCCUAGAGUCCUUAAUUCCUCCUUGUCUCCUGUGUGAGUGAGGGUCAUUGCACUCAGCAUGUCGUCACCAUCUUGGCUGACAAGUUUCACAGGUUUCACUUUCAUCAGAGAGUGCCCCAGAGGGAGAAGCAACACGCAGGUCCCUGCGUGGGCUCUGGGCUCCUCUUCUCUCCCAGACAGGAGAGCUAGACUUGGAAAAUUUUGAAGAAACCCCCUCCUGAACAGGUGUGGGGAACGUUGGGCUGCUGAGGGCUAGGUGGGGGUGAGGGUUCCCUUGCCUGGAUCUGAGGAUAGUAAACCUGGAAUUCCCAACCACCUUUAAAAAAAAAGCAGUUUAACAGUAACAAUUAAAAAGUGCGCUACUGAUUUGUUGAUUUCAUAA